CCUACGGGUGGCUGCAGUGGGGAAUAUUGGACAAUGGGGGAAACCCUGAUCCAGCGACGCCGCGUGAGUGAAGAAGUAUUUCGGUACGUAAAGCUCUAUCAGCCGGAAAGAAAAUGACGGUACGUGACUAAGAAGCCGCGGUUAACUACGUGACGCCAGCCGCGGUAAAACGUAGGGGGCAAGCGUUAUCCGGAUUUACUGGGGGUAAAGGGAGGGUAGACGGGAGCGCAAGUCUGGAGGGAAAUGCCCGGGCCCAACCCCGGAACUGGGCUGGAAACUGUGAAGCUGGAGUGCAGGAGAGGUAAGCGGAAUGCCUGGUGUAGCGGUGAAAUGCGUAGAUAUCAGGAGGAACACCGGCGGCGAAGGCAGCUUACCGGACUGUAACUGACGUUGAGGCUCGAAGGCGUGGGUAGCGAACAGGAUUAGAUACCCUUGUAGUC
rnacentral:rRNA from 1 species